GCCUUCUUAGCUCAGUCGGGAGAGCAUCAGACUUUUAAUCUGAGGGUCGUGGGCUCGAGUCCCACAGAAGGCG
rfam:Ascaris suum AG14786, whole genome shotgun sequence.